GUCUGUCUUCAGCAGUGCAUACACAAAAACUGGAAUGAUAUAGAGAAGUUUAGUACAGCUCCAGAGCAAGAAAGACAUGCAAAUUUUUUUGUGUGAAAUGUUACAUUUUUUU